rnacentral:rRNA from 1 species
GGUUAAGUGACUAAGCGUACACGGUGGAUGCCUUGGCAGUCAGAGGCGAUGAAAGACGUAGUAACUUGCGAUAAGCCCAGAUUAGGUAGUAACAACCAUUUGAGUCUGGGAUUUCUGAAUGGGGAAACCCACACGCAUAAGCGUGUAUCGUUAUGUGAAUACAUAGCAUAACGAGGCGAACCGGGGGAACUGAAACAUCUAAGUACCCCGAGGAAAAUAAAUCAACCGAGAUUCCGAAAGUAGCGGCGAGCGAAAUUGGACUAGCCCUUAAGCUUUACACGCGUUAGACGAACGGUCUGGAAAGUCCGACGAUACAGGGUGAUAGUCCCGUAGUUGACGA